rnacentral:rRNA from 1 species
GACGAACCGUGCGAACGUUAUUCGGAAUCAUUGGGCUUAAAGGGCGCGUAGGCGGCGGUGUAAGUUGGAAGUGAAAUCCCAUCGGCUCAACCGUGGAAUUGCUCCCAGUACUGCAUCGCUCGAGGGGGAUAGGGGUCUGCGGAACUACCGGUGGAGCGGUGAAAUGUGUUGAUAUCGGUGGGAACGCCAGUGGCGAAAGCGGCAGACUUGACCCUUCCUGACGCUGAUGCGCGAAAGCGUGGGGAGCAAACAGG